rnacentral:piRNA from 1 species
UAUAAAAGGAAAAUAAAACAGGAUAG